AUGGCUUAUUCCGUUCUCCGUCGGCUGCUUUGCUUAGUCGUCUGGUGGUCAACAGUGCACCGACAAGACCGUAUUCUGAUGAAGCAACAUUGGGUCUAUGAGCUGUAUCAGUGGAGAUCUUCUCUGCAGCAUAGGGAUUUGAGAAAAUGUCGCAGGAGGAAAUCCGCCGGUCAGAUGGAUGGUUCUCGGACUCUGUCCAGCGAGGGAGGAGGAAAACUUCGACUUUUCUUUCUUGGUGCGCGCGUACAAGGUGGAAAUCCAGUGCCUAUGACUACAGUUGUGCAAUGUCCACCUUCUAGUGAAUUCCUACUUUUGAGCGGCACAUCACGGGAACCUUCGUGGCAAAGUCCCAUUGUCAUCAUAUUCACAAUGAAGAUAAAAGCGGGAAGCCCCUUAGAAAAUCAUAUAUAA
rnacentral:rRNA from 1 species